CCUACGGGGGGCAGCAGUGGGGAAUAUUGCACAAUGGGGGAAAUCCUGAUGCAGCGACGCCGCGUGAGUGAAGAAGUAUUUCGGUACGUAAAGCUCUAUCAGCAGGGAAGAAAAUGACGGUACCUGACUAAGAAGCCCCGGCUAACUACGUGCCAGCAGCCGCGGUAAUACGUAGGGGGCAAGCGUUAUCCGGAUUUACUGGGUGUAAAGGGAGCGUAGACGGCAGCGCAAGUCUGGAGUGAAAUCCCAUGGCUUAACCAUGGAACUGCGUUGGAAACUGUGCAGCUAGAGUGCAGGAGAGGUAAGCGGAAUUCCUAGUGUAGCGGUGAAAUGCGUAGAUAUUAGGAGGAACACCAGUGGCGAAGGCGGCUUACUGGACUGUAACUGACGUUGAGGCUCGAAAGCGUGGGGAGCAAACAGGAUUAGAUACCCUGGUAGUC
rnacentral:rRNA from 1 species